rnacentral:rRNA from 1 species
GACGAACGCUGGCGGCGUGCCUAAUACAUGCAAGUUGAGCGAUGAAGCUUGGUGCUUGCCCCAAUUUGAAGAGCAGCGAACGGGUGAGUAACGCGUGGGGAAUCUGCCUUUGAGCGGGGGACAACAUUUGGAAGCGAAUGCUAAUACCGCAUAACAACUUUAAACAUAAGUUUUAAGUUUGAAAGAUGCAAUUGCAUCACUCAAAGAUGAUCCCGCGUUGUAUUAGCUAGUUGGUGAGGUAAAGGCUCACCAAGGCGAUGAUACAUAGCCGACCUGAGAGGGUGAUCGGCCACAUUGGGACUGAGACACGGCCCAAACUCCUACGGGAGGCAGCAGGAGGGAAUCUUCGGCAAUGGACGAAAGUCUGACCGAGCAACGCCGCGUGAGUGAAGAAGGGUUUCGGAUCGUAAAACUCGGUUGGUAGAGAAGAACGUUGGUGAGAGUGGAAAGCUCAUCAAGUGACGGUAACUACCCAGAAAGGGACGGCUAACUACGUG